GAGAAAUCCUCACUUUCUCUCUCUAAAUAACUCUCUCAUCUCUCUAGAUCUUUCGCCCAAAUUCACGGCGUUGGCGGAGAACGAGCUUGCGAACGCGUUGGGAGCGACGGAUCGAGCUUUCGUGCGCCCGUUGGAGCGGCGUGCUUCCGUCUCGGCGUUCACAUUUUGGUAAACUUUUGGGAUUUUUGACUUAAUCCUUAACCUUAGGUGUUCUAGUAGCCUCUAAUGAGCAUUCGUAGCAUGUUGCUCCAUUUAAUUUGGAUUAUUUGGAGGUAAUUGCAUGUUAGGGCUCAAAAAUAGGAUUUUGCAAUAUGUGAGGGUUUGAUCUAAAUUGAUCAUGUAUAAACCUAAUUGCUAGGUUUUCUGACGCGUCGGCGAAGUCGGUUUGGCGAUACGACGAGGCUGCGUGAAGAUAUUAAAGAACGAAGCCAUUAAGGUACAGAUUGCCGCAGCUCGUGGCGAAAGCUUCCAAAAAUCACGAAAUCGGAACCCUAGCCUCAUGAUAGCGAUAAAAGGUGGGGGGUGUCCAUCCGAAGAAAUCGGGCUUCCUUCUAUGUCCGAGUUAGAUUUUUGGUCAUAUUGCACAUAUGGUUCUUAUGCAUUAUAGGAUGUAUGUAUAGUUGCAUUUCUAUUUCCUUGCAUGCAUGUCUAGUUGUGUAGCAUUAUGGACUUGACACUUAAAUCUAGAAUGCAUGAGGAUUAGGGUUUGUGACAUGAGAUCCUAUAGUGAUAAGAAAAUAGUGAACUCGGACUUGAUGAUGAAAACUAGUGACAUGCGAACUAGUGUAUAGAAAACACUAUGACUUGGACGAGUGGCAUGUAAACAAUGUUAGUUAACAACAUGACGAGUGGCAUUGGAAUUUAGUGUAAUAAAAACACUUGUGGCAUUGAGCAUUAGGGAAUAGGUGAGUUUCCCUAGUCAUGGCAUAUUGCAUGAGAAUUAGCGUACUUGAGACACUAUGGCAUCAAACAUAGGGAUAGUUCAAUUCCCUAGUGUAAGUUGAUUAGUGUGGUUGAGACACUUGACAUGGACCUAGGGAUAGGUGGAUUUUCGAGUAUUUGUUAACCUAGUUGACAGGGUAUCCUCAGUUGGCGAGGAUUGGAUCAUACUCACAUAGUCUGUUUUGAGCUUGUGGUGGUCGCUCCACACAAGCAGUGCACUCCGGAGUUGUCACACGAGCUGGGUAGCUCACGAGCUGGGUAGCUCACGAGCGGGGUAGCUCACCGGGUGGGAUACGAGCGGGGUAACUCCUCACCCAUUGGACUGGGAAGUGAGUUCGGGCGAAUGGCGGGGUAGCCCUUCCCCUAUGAGGAUUGAGCGGGGUAGCUCAUUACUUAUGAGAAUUGAGCGGGGUAGCUCAUUACCUAUGAGAUUAGAGCGGGGUAGCUCUUCAUCUAUGACCUUUGAGAUAUGAGACGGGUGAGAAAAGAGCGGGGUAGCUCCUCACCUAUGAGAUUUGAGAUAUCAGUCAGGGCGAAAAGCGGGGUAGCUCUUCACCUCUUCACCUACUAGAUUGUGGUGUGAGUACCUAUGAGAUUUGAGAUCUUAAGCGGGGUAGCCUAGUGGAUUGGGUAAUGAUAUGAAUAGCAUAAGUGGAUUGCAUAACUAUGUUGUAUUUGUAUUCAUUACAUUGUUGAACAUAUUAUCAUGAUAGUAGGCUUAUUGCUAGACAAUAUUUCAUGAAUUGCUUGCAUUUGAUGGCACAAUAGAUCAUAGUUGCAAUUCAAUAUCUAUCUAUCUCUCUAUCUAUCUAUUUGUGCCAGCUUAGGCCUAGUGGGAAGAUCGGCGGAGUCGGCGGCCGAACCCACUGGGAACUAUAUUUAUAUAGUUCUCACCCCGUGUGGUUUUGGGGUACAGGUACACAUGUGAGCGGACCGGCAGGUGAUCGCGGUAAGGGCAUAGCGCCCUAGCUAGCUAGUAGAGCUUUCCUAUUGUACUAGAGCACCCUCGUGUGCAUGGUUAUAGAUGACAUGAUGUAUUUUGGAUAGCUAGCAUUAUAUAUAUGUGAGAUGAUUAUGUAUUCAUUUUGGGUGAUGAUGAAAAUGUAAAUGUAAUCAAAGAUGUAAAAGUGGAAUGUGAUGUAAUAGCUAGAUGUAUCUCUCUUUUUGCACUUGUA
rnacentral:lncRNA from 1 species